CCUACGGGAGGCAGCAGUGAGGAAUAUUGGUCAAUGGACGAGAGUCUGAACCAGCCAAGUAGCGUGAAGGAUGACUGCCCUAUGGGUUGUAAACUUCUUUUAUAUGGGAAUAAAACGUUCCACGUGUGGGAUUUUGUAUGUACCAUAUGAAUAAGGAUCGGCUAACUCCGUGCCAGCAGCCGCGGUAAUACGGAGGGUCCGAGCGUUAUCCGGAUUUAUUGGGUUUAAAGGGAGCGUAGGUGGAUUGUUAAGUCAGUUGUGAAAGUUUGCGGCUCAACCGUAAAAUUGCAGUUGAAACUGGCAGUCUUGAGUACAGUAGAGGUAGGCGGAAUUCGUGGUGUAGCGGUGAAAUGCUUAGAUAUCACGAAGAACUCCGAUUGCGAAGGCAGUUCACUGGACUGCAACUGACACUGAGGCUCGAAAGUGUGGGUAUCAAACAGGAUUAGAUACCCCAGUAGUC
rnacentral:rRNA from 1 species